rnacentral:rRNA from 1 species
UACGAAGGGGGCUAGCGUUGCUCGGAACCACUGGGCGUAAAGCGCACGUAGGCGGAUUGUUAAGUCAGGGGUGAAAUCCUGGAGCUCAACUCCAGAACUGCCUUUGAUACUGGCGAUCUUGAGUCCGGGAGAGGUGAGUGGAACUGCGAGUGUAGAGGUGAAAUUCGUAGAUAUUCGCAAGAACACCAGUGGCGAAGGCGGCUCACUGGCCCGGUACUGACGCUGAGGUGCGAAAGCGUGGGGAGCAAACAGG